GCUCGGAUAGUUCAGUGGUAGAACGUCAGUCUCGUAAGUCACAUCUUGACAACUGAAGGUCCGCGGUUCAAUCCCGCGUUCGAGCA